rnacentral:rRNA from 1 species
GACGAACGCUGGCGGCGUGCUUAACACAUGCAAGUCGAACGGACAGACAGAGAGCUUGCUCUCUUGAAGUUAGUGGCGAACGGGUGAGUAACGCGUAAUCAACCUGCCCUUCAGAGGAGGAUAACAACGGGAAACCGUUGCUAAUACCGCGUACGAUUCAUGAACGGCAUCGUUUAUGAAUGAAAGGUGGCCUCUAUGUAUAAGCUAUCGCUGAAGGAGGGGAUUGCGUCUGAUUAGCUAGUUGGAGGGGUAACGGCCCACCAAGGCAAUGAUCAGUAGCCGGUCUGAGAGGAUGAACGGCCACAUUGGGACUGAGACACGGCCCAAACUCCUACGGGAGGCAGCAGUGGGGAAUCUUCCGCAAUGGACGAAAGUCUGACGGAGCAACGCCGCGUGAGUGAUGAAGGUCUUCGGAUUGUAAAGCUCUGUUAAUCGGGACGAAAGAGUUCUGCGUGAAUAAUGCAGAAAAGUGACGGUACCGGAACAGAAAGCCACGGCUAACUACGUGCCAGCAGCCGCAGUAA